AAAGCUGAAACUUCCUCUGACUUAGACUGCGCAAGAUGUUUUGCCUCAAGGUUGUGUUUUUCAUCAUCUUAAACCACAUUUCCAUGUCUGCUGAGGAACACCAAGAUUCCUGCAAGUAUCGUGUCUUGGCGAGGAAGGCCACAGAAAUGGCCUGUUUCAAGACCAGGGAUGACAGCCACCCAGAUUGUGAAGCUGAAGGUGGGGUCAGCACAUUCUGUCACAUCGAAACCCGAAAUGACUGGAUCAUCAUUAAGUGGCUGGCAAGCAAAGACUUCACUUGCAGCAAUGAGACUUUCUCUGAAAGUCUGAGAGGAAAAGGACAUUGUGCCAUUGACCAGGAAGUUCCCGUGAUUUGUUUGCUGUCGCGUUCCUGCCU